GCACUGCUGAGGAGUCCCAUACCAUAGGACGAAACGGCCGUCCAGUGC
rfam:Schistosoma margrebowiei strain Zambia genome assembly, scaffold: SMRZ_contig0000068